rnacentral:rRNA from 1 species
CCUACGGGUGGCAGCAGUGAGGAAUAUUGGUCAAUGGGCGCGAGCCUGAACCAGCCAAAUCGCGUGAGGGAAGACGGUCCUAUGGAUUGUAAACCUCUUUUGUCGGGGAGCAAAAGACGCCACGCGUGGCGUUCCGAGAGUACCUGACGAAAAAGCCUCGGCUAACUCAGUGCCAGCAGACGCGGUAAUACGGGAGAUGCGAGCGUUAUCCGGAUUUAUUGGGUUAAAAGGGUGCGCAGGCGGAAGAUCAAGUCAGCGGUAAAAUUGAGAGGCUCAACCUCUUCGAGCCGUUGAAACUGGUUGUCUUGAGUGAGCGAGAGGUAUGCGGAAUGCGUGGUGUAGCGGUGAAAUGCAUAGAUAUCAGGAGGAACAUCGGUGGCGUAAGCGCUUUACUGGGCCGUAAUUGACGCUGAGGAACGAAAGCCAGGGUAGCAAAUGGGAUUAGAUACCCGAGUAGUC